UGCCAGCCGCCGCGGUAAUACGUAGGUGGCAAGCGUUGUCCGGAUUUACUGGGUGUAAAGGGCGUGUAGGCGGGAAUACAAGUCAGAUGUGAAAUACUGUGGCUCAACCACAGAACGGCAUCUGAAACUGUAUUUCUUGAGUACUGGAGAGGAAAGCGGAAUUCCUAGUGUAGCGGUGAAAUGCGUAGAUAUUAGGAGAAGGCCAAUGGCGAAGGCAGCUUUCUGGCGAGUGACUGACGCUGAGGAACGAAAGUUAGGGUAUCGAACGGGAUUAGAUA
rnacentral:rRNA from 1 species